rnacentral:rRNA from 1 species
AAGCUCGUAGUUGAAUUUCGAGACCAAUUUGUUGGUCGUGCCUCGGUACGUACUGGUAUUAUUGGUUUCUCCCUUCUGAAGAACCUCGAUGUCAUUAAUUUGGUGUCGUGGGGAAUCAGGACUGUUACUUUGAAAAAAUUAGAGUGUUUAAAGCAGGCAUACGCUUGAAUACAUUAGCAUGGAAUAAUGAAAUAGGACGUUUGAUUCUAUUUUGUUGGUUUCUAGGAUCGACGUAAUGAUUAAUAGGGAUAGUUGGG